GGGAGUGUGGCGGAAUCGGUAGACGCACCAGACUUAAAAUCUGUUGACCUUGAGUCGUGGGGGUUCAAGUCCCCCCACUCCUACUA
rnacentral:tRNA from 1 species